ACGACCACAUCACGUUGAAACACCGGUUCCCGUACGAUCACCGAAGUUAAGCAACAUUGAGCCUGGUUAGUACCUGGAUGGGUGACCGCUUGAAAAUACCAGGCGCUGUAAG